rnacentral:rRNA from 1 species
AAUGAACGUUGGCGGCGUGGAUUAGGCAUGCAAGUCGAGCGAGAAGAGUUUUGAAGCUUGCUUUAGAACUCGGAAAGCGGCGAAAGGGAGAGUAACGCGUAGUUACGUACCCAGGGGUUCGGAAUAGCCACGGGAAACUGCGGGUAAUGCCGAAUAACAUCCCCGGAUCAAAGGUGUGAUUCCGCCCUUGGAGCAGAAUGCGUCCUACUAGCUAGUUGGCGGGGUAAUGGCCCACCAAGGCAACAAUGGGUAGCGGGUGUGAGAGCAUGACCCGUCUCACUGGGACUGAGACACUGCCCAGACACCUACGGGUGGCUGCAGUCGAGAAUCUUCGGCAAUGGGCGAAAGCCUGACCGAGCGACGCCGCGUGCGGGAUGAAGGCCCUCGGGUUGUAAACCGCUGUCGUAGGGGAGGAAGGCUCCGUGAAGAACGGGGUUUGACCUAUCCUAGGAGGAAGUACGGGCUAAGUUCGUGCCAGCCGCCGCAGUAAAAC